GACGAACGCUGGCGGCGUGCCUAAUACAUGCAAGUAGAACGCUGAAGAGAGGAGCUUGCUCUUCUUGGAUGAGUUGCGAACGGGUGAGUAACGCGUAGGUAACCUGCCUGGUAGCGGGGGAUAACUAUUGGAAACGAUAGCUAAUACCGCAUGAAAUUGCUUAUCGCAUGAUAAUUGAUUGAAAGAUGCAAUUGCAUCACUACCAGAUGGACCUGCGUUGUAUUAGCUAGUUGGUGAGGUAACGGCUCACCAAGGCGACGAUACAUAGCCGACCUGAGAGGGUGAUCGGCCACACUGGGACUGAGACACGGCCCAGACUCCUACGGGAGGCAGCAGUAGGGAAUCUUCGGCAAUGGGGGAAACCCUGACCGAGCAACGCCGCGUGAGUGAAGAAGGGUUUCGGAUCGUAAAGCUCUGUUGUAAGAGAAGAACGGGUGUGAGAGUGGAAAGUUCACACUGUGACGGUAUCUUACCAGAAAGGGACGGCUAACUACGUG
rnacentral:rRNA from 1 species